UCAAGUUAUUAAGGGUGCAGGGCGGAUGCCUUGGCACUAGGAGCCGAUGAAGGACGUGAUAAGCUGCGAUAAGCUUCGGGGAGUUGCACGUAAACUUUGAUCCGAAGAUUUCCGAAUGAGGAAACUCACUUAGAGUAAUGUCUAAGUAUCGUUAAGUGAAUACAUAGCUUAGCGAGGGGAACCCGGGGAACUGAAACAUCUAAGUACCCGGAGGAAGAGAAAGAAAUUCGAUUCCGUAAGUAGCGGCGAGCGAACGCGGAACAGGCCAAACCAAUGAAGUUUACUUCGUUGGGGUUGCGGACAUACAACAUGGAUGCAAUAUCGUAAAUGAAGAGAGUUGGAAAGCUCCGCCAUAGAAGGUAAUAGCCCUGUAGUUGAAACGAGAAAGCUACUAGUAUGAUCCAGAGUACCACGGGACACGUGAAACCCUGUGGGAAGCAGGAGGGACCAUCCUCCAAGCCUAAAUACUACCUAGUGACCGAUAGCGCAUAGUACCGUGAGGGAAAGGUGAAAAGAACCCCGGGAGGGGAGUGAAAUAGAACCUGAAACCCUGCACUUACAAGCUGUGGGAGCACAUUACUUGUGUGACCGCGUACUUUUUGUAGAACGGGCCAACGAGUUACGUUAAGUAGCAAGGUUAAGCACUUAAGGUGUGGAGCCGUAGCGAAAGCGAGUCUUAAAUGGGCGAUUAAGUUACUUGGCGUAGACCCGAAACCGGGCGACCUAUCCAUGAGCAGGUUGAAGCGAAAGUAAAAUUUCGUGGAGGACCGAACCCACGAGCGUUGAAAAGCUCGGGGAUGACUUGUGGAUAGCGGUGAAAUUCCAAUCGAGCCCGGAGAUAGCUGGUUCUCCCCGAAAUAGCUUUAGGGCUAGCCUCAAGCGUAGAGAAACGGAGGUAGAGCACUGAAUGUCCUAGGGGGUAUUGCACUUACCGAAGACUAUCAAACUCCGAAUGCCGUUUUCUUUUACUUGGGAGUCAGACUGUGGGUGAUAAGAUUCAUAGUCAAAAGGGCAACAGCCCAGAUCGUCAGCUAAGGUCCCUAAAUGUACGUUAAGUGGUAAAGGAUGUGGGAUUGCACAGACAACCAGGAUGUUGGCUUAGAAGCAGCCACUCAUUUAAAGAGUGCGUAAUAGCUCACUGGUCGAGUGAUCCUGCGCCGAAAAUUUCCGGGGCUAAAACGUACUACCGAAGCUACGGCAUCAUUUAUGAUGGGUAGGGGAGCUUCGUAUGCAGGCUGAAGCAUGACCGUAAGGACAUGUGGACAGUAUACGAGUGAGAAUGUUGGCAUGAGUAGCGAGACGUGGGUGAGAAUCCCACGGGCCGUAAACCCAAGGUUUCCAGGGGAAGGUUCGUCCGCCCUGGGUUAGUCGGGACCUAAGCCGAGGCCGAAAGGCGUAGGUGAUGGACAACAGGUUGAUAUUCCUGUACCGCCAAUAAGCGUUUGAGAGAUGGAGUGACACAGUAGGAUAAGCUAACCGUACUGUUGGUUAUGUACGGCUAAGCAUUGAGGCAGUCUAAAUAGGCAAAUCCGUUUAGACAAUGCUAGGAUGUGAUGGGGAAGCCCUUCGGGGCGAAGUAGCUGAUUUCACACUGUCAAGAAAAGCUUCUAUCGAGUUUAAAGGCGCCCGUACCGUAAACCGACACAGGUGGGUGAGGAGAGUAUCCUAAGGCCAGCGAGAGAACUAUUGUUAAGGAACUCGGCAAAAUGACCCCGUAACUUAGGGAGAAGGGGUGCCUGUCUAUGACAGGCCGCAGAGAAUAGGCCCAAGCGACUGUUUACCAAAAACACAGGUUUCUGCUAAGUCGCAAGACGAUGUAUAGGAGCUGACGCCUGCCCGGUGCUGGAAGGUUAAGGGGAUCUGUUAGAGCAAUCGAAGCAGUGAACUUAAGCCCCAGUAAACGGCGGCCGUAACUAUAACGGUCCUAAGGUAGCGAAAUUCCUUGUCGGGUAAGUUCCG
rnacentral:rRNA from 1 species